rnacentral:pre_miRNA from 1 species
AGGGGAAUAGCUGGGUCAAAUGGUGAUUCCAUUCCCAGCUUUCCAAGAAAUCUCCAUACUGCUUUCCAAAUUGGCUGCACCAAUUUGCAGUCCCACCAGCAAU